GCCAGACUCCUACGGGAGGCAGCAGUGGGGGAUAUUGCACAAUGGGGGGAACCCUGAUGCAGCGACGCCGCGUGGGUGAAGGAGCGUUUCGGCGCGUAAAGCCCUAUCGGCAGGGAAGAAGGAGGACGGUACCUGACUAAGAAGCCCCGGCUAACUACGUGCCAGCAGCCGCGGUAAUACGUAGGGGGCAAGCGUUAUCCGGAUUUACUGGGUGUAAAGGGGGCGCAGACGGCAGCGCAAGCCAGGAGUGAAAGCCCGGGGCCCAACCCCGGGACUGCGCUUGGAACUGCGCGGCUGGAGUGCAGGAGGGGCAGGCGGAAUUCCUGGUGUAGCGGUGAAAUGCGUAGAUAUCAGGAGGAACACCGGUGGCGAAGGCGGCCUGCUGGACUGCGACUGACGUUGAGGCCCGAAAGCGUGGGGAGCAAACAGGAUUAGAUACCCGAGAAGA
rnacentral:rRNA from 1 species